rnacentral:rRNA from 1 species
CGUGCAGCAAGGAAUUUUCCGCAAUGGGCGCAAGCCUGACGGAGCAACGCCGCGUGGGUGAAGACGUCUUUCGGGAUGUAAAGCCCUUUUCUGGGGGAAGAGCAAGGACGGUACCCCAGGAAUAAGCCCCGGCUAACUACGUGCCAGCAGCCGCGGUAAUACGUAGGGGGCGAGCGUUGUCCGGAAUUACUGGGCGUAAAGCGCGCGCAGGCGGUCGGCCAAGUUCGGCGUGAAAGCCCCCGGCUCAACUGGGGAGGGUCGUUGGAAACUGGUCGACUGGAGGACAGGAGAGGAGCAUGGAAUUCCCGGUGUAGUGGUGAAAUGCGUAGAGAUCGGGAGGAACACCAGUGGCGAAAGCGGUGCUCUGGCCUGCCCCUGACGCUGAGGCGCGAAAGCGUGGGGAGCGAACGGGAUUAGAUACCCCGGUAGUCCACGCCGUAAACGAUGGACACUAGGUGUAGGUGGUAUUGACCCCACCUGUGCCGCAGCUAACGCAGUAAGUGUCCCGCCUGGGGAGUACGGCCGCAAGGCUA